CCUACGGGCGGCAGCAGUGAGGAAUAUUGGUCAAUGGACGAGAGUCUGAACCAGCCAAGUAGCGUGAAGGAUGACUGCCCUAUGGGUUGUAAACUUCUUUUAUAUGGGAAUAAAACGUUCCACGUGUGGGAUUUUGUAUGUACCAUAUGAAUAAGGAUCGGCUAACUCCGUGCCAGCAGCCGCGGUAAUACGGAGGAUCCGAGCGUUAUCCGGAUUUAUUGGGUUUAAAGGGAGCGUAGGUGGAUUGUUAAGGCAGUUGUGAAAGUUUGCGGCUCAACCGUAAAAUUGCAGUUGAAACUGGCAGUCUUGAGUACAGUAGAGGUUGGCGGAAUUCGUGGUGUAGCGGUGAAAUGCUUAGAUAUCACGAAGAACUCCGAUUGCGAAGGCAGUUCACUGGACUGCAACUGACACUGAGGCUCGAAAGUGUGGGUAUCAAACAGGAUUAGAUACCCCAGUAGUC
rnacentral:rRNA from 1 species